rnacentral:rRNA from 1 species
AUUGAACGCUGGCGGCAGGCCUAACACAUGCAAGUCGAGCGGAUGAAGGGAGCUUGCUCCUGGAUUCAGCGGCGGACGGGUGAGUAAUGCCUAGGAAUCUGCCUGGUAGUGGGGGAUAACGUCCGGAAACGGGCGCUAAUACCGCAUACGUCCUGAGGGAGAAAGUGGGGGAUCUUCGGACCUCACGCUAUCAGAUGAGCCUAGGUCGGAUUAGCUAGUUGGUGGGGUAAAGGCCUACCAAGGCGACGAUCCGUAACUGGUCUGAGAGGAUGAUCAGUCACACUGGAACUGAGACAGGGUCCAGACUCCUACGGGAGGCAGCAGUGGGGAAUAUUGGACAAUGGGCGAAAGCCUGAUCCAGCCAUGCCGCGUGUGUGAAGAAGGUCUUCGGAUUGUAAAGCACUUUAAGUUGGGAGGAAGGGCAGUAAGUUAAUACCGUGCUGUUUUGACGUUACCAACAGAAUAAGCACCGGCUAACUUCGUG